UGUUGAGUCUGCAGCCUGUACCACUAAGCAGAGCUCACAAAGCACAGGGUGACUUGGAUCACACGCCAGUUCUUUAUACACUUUGUUCAACUCAAGACCUCCACUUCACUGCAAAUUUCUGGAUUGUAGGAGGACAGCAGAGUACCCAGAGAAAACAUGGAAUGCACAACGGCAAAGAGACACCAGCCAGACCGUAAUCGCAGAAGCUGUACCACCUGAAGCUGCCAGGAUGACAGAAGAAACAGAGGAGAAUCCAGGAUAUGUGCUGCUCCAAUGCUGUACGAGCUCCUUUUCAAUGGCUGUUGAAGAUUCUUUAAGCAGACAGUGUGGAACCAAUUGGUGCAAAAGAAGGCAGAAGGUUCAGUAACUUUUAACAAGGUUCCUGUUUGAAUUUGCUCCUAAUGGGGGGGGUCAAGCUCUGACAGGGGGUUUUUUAUUCGCAAAUUCAGGAGUGCUUAAUAGGUGAUGCCAGUCUUAAUAAAGUUAGUUAUCACAGGUAGGAAGGAAUGACUGUGGCGCGAGGCAGACUGCCCAGUGCGUACCCCAGCCUCAUCACAUACGCUGCCUCCCGGGGUGACUCUUACCAUUUAAGAAGUUACAUGAUAGAUGUAUCAACUGAGUCGCGGUGAAAAAUUUUUUAUCUACAAAAUAUCCCAAAUAACCAGUUUGGAAGGGAGGAAAUUAAAGAGUAAAAUAAGUCUUAGGCAGUCAAAGAGAAUAUUUAAGGCUAAGUGUACUGGGUUGUAAGUGUAUAUUUGCUCAGAACAAAAAAAGACAACUUAAAGACAAUUAGAAAAUACGCAAAUUAACAGUAACACAUAAAAAACAAACAAGAAUUUCUUCAGUUCUCCCAAAAGUCACUCAUAUCUGGUUGGAUGGCGAGAUGAACGUGGUUUCAGAUCCCAAACCUCUCCUCAGGGGCACCUCAGCCAUUCCAUGUUUUUGUUACAUUCUCCACCAGCUCGAUUAAUUAAUUCAUUCAUUCAGGAACUCAGUAAGGUAUCGAGUAACCAAACAAAGUGGGGUAGUGAUCAGUCAACAAAUACACGGAUGUGUUGGACGGCUGCUGCAAAUACUGGGGUGACUUUAGGGGAGUUUUUGAAAUGGCUGAGCUGACGCACUUUGACAGACCUGUCGUCAUAGUUCUACACCGACACGAAGAUCAUUUGAAAACCAUUUUCUAUGACUGCUUAAGACUUUUGCACAGUACUGUAUUUGUCAUGAUACCGAGACCUGUGUGUACCUGUGAGUUUAUUGACAUCUCUGAGAGAACAGAAGAAUAGGCGCUAGACCGUCAGGAGAUGCUGAUGUAAUCCACACAGCCGCACGCGCCUAGGCGAAAACGUCACAUGGCCUCCCCAGCUCUCCGCAGGGGGUCUUUCCUACUUUGUGCUUCCCGUCUAACUCCAUUUUCUGUAUUUGAUUACAUAGUGUAAAUGCCAGGUAAAGGAACUGUGAAGGUCGUGGGAUUCAGCUCAUACACCUCCGCAGAAAAACUAUCAUUGCUGAUUUAUUUUUGGUCCAAGUUUCAGAUUAUAAUGACAAUCUUCUUAAGCAAUUUAUUAUGUUUAUUUUAUAACCCCUAUAAAAGCCAAAUAUUAGCCCACUGCCCAAUCAUCCCUUUCUAUGCAGACUUGUCUCGAAUGGGUUGCAUUAAGCUGCACGCAUAUAACGUCACAAUUUAUACGUAGCCGCCAUUUUACCAGGGAAUGCUGAAGAGGUCAUCCGUUUUUCAGUUGCAGAAAGUUCGGUGUUUCUUUUCAAUGUUAAAGAAAGU